rnacentral:tRNA from 3 species
UGGCUCAUGGUGUAACUGGCAACACGUCUGAUUUUGGUUCAGAAGAGUCCAGGUUCGAGCCCUGGUGAGCCAA